UCAAAGUAGCAGCCAAGAAGAGAUCAGAUUGGGUUAUCCGUAAUUUGGACCAGUGCAUCUCUCUCUCCCUUUCUGACAUCAAGAAUAAUAAGUUUAGGCUCAAAGCUGCUUGCUAUCUUUGGUCCAGCACCUAUAAUGCAUUCCUUUUCAGGUAAGGCAUGUCUCCUAUAUUCUGGCCGAUGUCCUCAUGUUGACUGGUCUUAACAUCAUAGGACAAAUCAACCCUAUCAACCUGUUAGUAAAGCCUUCUGAAAAACUAGAGAGUAUAAGGUCUGGAGGUUGGUCCAACUACAUAAACAGUUUCAAGACUGAUAGGAAAGCUAUAACCGACAAAGAGCACAUAGCCUUCUUGAAUAUGUGGCUAUACUGAUAUGUCUUGUCAGGACAAACUUGUGCUCCGACCUCCAAUUAUCAUGUUCUAGCAGAAAAAAUAGCAGUCAACUCUGAGAUUCCUCUUGGCAAAUACCUACCUGGAGCUCUAUACAAUCUUCUGAAUAAAGUCUCUCAAAGCUUGAUGAAGAAUGAGAUCAUCCCAACAAUCACUGGCCCUUGGUAGUUUGUGCAACUAUGGCUCAAUCUUCACCUUCAUAAAUUAGUAGUUUCAAAGCUAACAACCCUAUCUCUCCGUUCUCUGGAUUACUCAGAAGACCAAGAGAACCAAUUACCCAGAGAUAAAAAAUUCCGCCGAUGCAUGUCUUUUGGUGAAGCAGCAUCAGCAAUCAGCAUAAACAGAUCAGUUACUUUAUUUUUCAAGCUCUUCUACAGAGGUUCCCCAUUGGAUGUUAUGCAAUGGUUUAUAUACCUAGAUAUUCUAGAAUUUGAGCUUCCUGCGUCCUUCAGAUUCCAAACUACUCUCAAUGACACCGAAGAACUACAGGUCUUGAGUCACGAUUAGGCCAAGUUUAUUGUCGAUAGAAAUCUGACAUGGCAGAGAGAAACCUCCAACUUCCUAUGAAUUUCAUUGUCCCUUAAUAGUGGCCAGGAAAAUGGGUUUGGGUUAAUUGCCCCCAGCCUUACUCUUUGCUGAUAGGCUAAAGCCUAGGGAAGCAGUGACUUCUUCAUUAGAAUUAUUUCAGUCCGGAUACUUUGUAUCACGCCAAUAUGACAAAUGGCCAAGAUGUUAUAACUUGAGUUUUAUUUCAGUAGUGGUUGUAGCCUACAGGUCCGUUUGAAUAGUAACAUGGGCUGAGAAGUGGAUUUCUGCGUGUGGUAUAUUCUUAAGUAAAUCUUCAUAUAGGAUAGAAUUAAUAAUUAACUUUCAUUCCUGUUGUAUUGAAUUGUUUCAUGUCCAAUCAACCCAAUGUCCUAUAUUUAAAUAGUCCACAUGCAUGGGACAACUGAACUUGUCUUCAGCGGCAAGUACAUUCCGAUGCUUCCGUGGCAUCAAUAAUUGUUUAGAGAUUUUUCUCAGCGAUUUUGAUCGUCAGCGCUAUUGCAUGGUGUUCUCCUAGCUCAUCUCCAAGAUGACAUUUCUGAACAAGGACUCUUGUGCAUUUCCGAUCUAUCAAUAGAGGUAUCAUGGGCGCCCAGGGCUUGAUGAGGAGACCAUGAGCAGAGGAGAGGAGUCCCGUCCCUGACACGCAGCAAUUUGGCAGACAUACCCGCGUCGGCACAUGCUUCCACGGUUCAAAAUGGACUUCUUCUAUCUGCUCAACAAGCUUAUUCUAGAAGGAGUCACAUUUGAUCUUCACAUUAGUUGGUUGGCAGCAAAGGGAUAACAACUUGGCAUUGUUUUUUUUUUGGGUUUGUAAGUGCUUGGGACUUAGAACCUGGAUUAGGUUACUGCAGGGUCUGUUAUGGUGCUAGUUAUGAAGUUUGUGGAGGAUUUCCCACUCAAAGCUGGUGCUAGGCGAUGUAUCAACUUAUCAUCGAUGUUUGUAAUGGCUAAUCUGAUCACAUAUGUAUGUCUUUGUGAAUGUUUAGACUUGGUCAUGAAUGAAUGUAUUUAUGGCAAAUGUGUAUAUGGUGUUAUAUUGGGUUUUUCUAUUAAAUUGCGUCCAAAUGGCCUUUUUUUAGUGCCAUAUAAA